UCAAAGAUUAAGCCAUGCAUGUCUAAGUAUAAGCAACUUGUACUGUGAAACUGCGAAUGGCUCAUUAAAUCAGUUAUCGUUUAUUUGAUAGUACCUUACUACAUGGAUACCUGUGGUAAUUCUAGAGCUAAUACAUGCUAAAAACCCCGACUUCAGGAAGGGGUGUAUUUAUUAGAUAAAAAACCAACGCCCUUCGGGGCUCCUUGGUGAAUCAUAAUAACUUAACGAAUCGCAUGGCCUUGCGCCGGCGAUGGUUCAUUCAAAUUUCUGCCCUAUCAACUUUCGAUGGUUGGAUAGUGGCCUACCAUGGUGGCAACGGGUAACGGGGAAUUAGGGUUCGAUUCCGGAGAGGGAGCCUGAGAAACGGCUACCACAUCCAAGGAAGGCAGCAGGCGCGCAAAUUACCCAAUCCCGAUACGGGGAGGUAGUGACAAUAAAUACUGAUACGGGGCUCUUUUGGGUCUCGUAAUUGGAAUGAGAACAAUUUAAAUCCCUUAACGAGGAACAAUUGGAGGGCAAG
rnacentral:rRNA from 1 species